UACGUAGGGGGCAAGCGUUGUCCGGAUUUAUUGGGCGUAAAGAGCGUGUAGGCGGCCAGAUAGGUCCGUUGUGAAAACUCGAGGCUCAACCUCGAGACGCCGGUGGAAACCGUAAGGCUAGAGUCCGGAAGAGGAGAGUGGAAUUCCUGAUGUAGCGGUGAAAUGCGCAGAUAUCAGGAGGAACACCCGUGGCGAAAGCGGCUCUCUGGGACGGUACUGACGCUGAGACGCGAAAGCGUGGGGAGCAAACAGG
rnacentral:rRNA from 1 species